rnacentral:rRNA from 1 species
UACGUAGGAGGCGAGCGUUGUCCGGAGUUACUGGGCGUAAAGGGUGCGUAGGCGGCUGCGCGCGUGGAGGGUGAAAUCUCUCGGCUUACCCGGGAGGGGGCUUUCCAGACGGCGUGGCUUGAGGGACGGAGAGGGGCGUGGAAUUCCGGGUGGAGCGGUGAAAUGCGUAGAGAUCCGGAGGAACACCGACGGCGUAGGCAGCGCCCUGGCCGUUUACUGACGCUGAAGCACGAAAGCGGGGGGAGCAAACAGG